rnacentral:tRNA from 1 species
GCCUGGGUGGCUCAAUGGUUGAGCGUCUGCCUUCAGUCCAGAGCGUGAUCCUGAGGUCUUGGGAUUGAGUCCCACAUCGGGCU